UACAGAGGUCCCAAGCGUUACUGAGAAUCACUGGGUUUAAAGGGUGCGUAGGUGGUCCGUUAAGUCAGUUGUGAAAUCCCCGGGCUCAACCCGGGAACUGCUUCUGAUACUGGCGGACUUGAGGCCAGUAGGGGUCACUAGAACUGACGGUGGAGCGGUGAAAUGCGUAGAUAUCGUCAGGAAUGCCGGUGGUGAAGACGGGUGACUGGGCUGGUUCUGACACUGAGGCACGGAAAGCGUGGGGAGCGAACGGG
rnacentral:rRNA from 1 species